rnacentral:pre_miRNA from 1 species
ACAACAUUCAGAAUGUCGGUCUACCGAGCAAUUUCACCCGCUCGGUGAAAGACCUUACCUUUGUCGU